rnacentral:rRNA from 1 species
GACGAACGCUGGCGGCGUGCUUAACACAUGCAAGUCGAACGGAAAGGCCCUGCUUGCAGGGUACUCGAGUGGCGAACGGGUGAGUAACACGUGGGUGAUCUGCCCUGCACUUCGGGAUAAGCUUGGGAAACUGGGUCUAAUACCGGAUAGGAGCCAUCUUUAGUGUGGUGGUUGGAAAGUUUUUUCGGUGUAGGAUGAGCUCGCGGCCUAUCAGCUUGUUGGUGGGGUAAUGGCCUACCAAGGCGGCGACGGGUAGCCGGCCUGGGAGGGUGUACGGCCACAUUGGGACUGAGAUACGGCCCAGACUCCUACGGGAGGCAGCAGUGGGGAAUAUUGCACAAGGGGCGCAAGCCUGAUGCAGCGACGCCGCGUGGGGGAUGAAGGCCUUCGGGUUGUAAACUCCUUUCGCUAGGGACGAAGCUUUGUUGUGACGGUACCUAGAUAAGAAGCACCGGCUAACUACGU